rnacentral:misc_RNA from 1 species
AUCAAAAGAGGUCUGCUCGUGCUCCCAUGGGAUUGAUGCAGCGGCGUUCGGUUUUUGAUCGGAUUUCCUUCCCCCUUCGCUCUGUCAGUGAUCAUGAAGCUGUUGUUCGUCCGCAUUUUCAAAAUUAUUCAAAUCGCAGAAUUGGCCGCAUGGUUCGCUCAGGAUUUCGGUCAUCUUUGGAGGCCCCUCGCGUUUCCCCAUGGGCCCCGCGGAUGUUGGUUUGGAGGCCCAAGAAGAUUUUGGAACAAUGCCCGGAGAAUUUUGGACAGGAUUCUGUCCCCGGCAUUAAUGGCUCUUCUGUCCCUGCGGCGUCGGGUGACCAACAUUUCCGGG